rnacentral:rRNA from 1 species
AAGCGUAUAGCAGUCAUGCAGGCAAAACCGCAUGAAAAAUGUAAAGCGUUAUGUGGAUCGAACAUUAGUAGAGAAGCGUGUGAGCCAGCUGCCAAGAAAAGCCGCUAUUGCUUCAUAAGUACCCGUACCGUAAACCGACACAGGUGGAUGAGGAGAGAAUCCUAAGGCCGGCGGGAGAAGUGUUGUUAAGGAACUCGGCAAAAUGACUCCGUAACUUCGGGAGAAGGAGUGCCACAGAGAUGUGGCCGCAGAGAAAUGGCCCAAGCAACUGUUUAGCAAAAACACAGGUCUAUGCAAAACCGAAAGGUGAGGUAUAUGGGCUGACGCCUGCCCGGUGCUGGAAGGUUAAGAGGAGAGGUUAGAGCAAUCGAAGCUUUGAAUUUAAGCCCCAGUAAACGGCGGCCGUAACAAUAACGGUCCUAAGGUAGCGAAAUUCCUUGUCGGGUAAGUUCCGACCCGCACGAAAGGCGUAAUGAUUUGGGCACUGUCUCAACAACACACCCGGUGAAAUUGAAAUACCAGUGAAGAUGCUGGUUACCUGCGCCAGGACGGAAAGACCCCAUGGAGCUUUACUCCAGUUUGAUACUGGGAUUCGGUACUGUCUGUACAGGAUAGGUGGGAGGCUAGGAAAUGGUGACGCCAGUUGCCAUGGAGCCAACCUUGGGAUACCACCCUUACAGUACUGGGUUUCUACCUGCAGCCGUAACCCGGCUGGGGGACAAUGUCUGACGGGGAGUUUGACUGGGGCGGUCGCCUCCGAAAGAGUAUCGGAGGCGCUCAAAGGUUCCCUCAGAACGGUUGGAAACCGUUCGAAGAGUGCAAAGGCAGAAGGGAGCUUGACUGCGACACCGACGGGUGGAGCAGAUACGAAAGUAGGACUUAGUGAUCCGGUGGUAUAAAGUGGGAUUGCCAUCGCUCAACGGAUAAAAGCUACCCUGGGAUAACAGGCUUAUCACUCCCAAGAGUUCACAUCGACGGAGUGGUUUGGCACCUCGAUGUCGGCUCAUCGCAUCCUGGAGCUGUAGCAGGUUCCAAGGGUUGGGCUGUUCGCCCAUUAAAGCGGUACGCGAGCUGGGUUCAGAACGUCGUGAGACAGUUCGGUCCCUAUCCGGCGUGGGCGUAGGAUAUUUGAGAGGAGCUGUCCUUAGUACGAGAGGACCGGGAUGGACGAACCUCUGGUGUAUCUGUUGUUUUACCAAAGGCAUGGCAGAGUAGCCAAGUUUGGCAGGGAUAAACGCUGAAGGCAUCUAAGCGUGAAGCCCCCCUCAAGAUAAGAUAUCCCAUCUUCGGAGUAAGACCCCUUGAAGACUACAAGGUUGAUAGGCUUUGUGUGUAAGUGCGGUAACGCACUCAGCUGAGAAGUACUAAUAGGUCGAGGACUUAGC